GGAUUGUGGCUCAGUGGCAGAGCACUUGCCUAACAUGUGUAAGGCCCUGGGUUCGAUCCUCAGCACCA
rnacentral:tRNA from 1 species